UCAAGCUAUAAAGAGCGUAGGGAGAAUGACUUGGCAUCAGGAGCCGAAGAAGGACGUGACAAGCUGCGAAAAGCUGCGGUUAGGAGCAAAUAUCCAUAGACCCGCAGAUAUCCGAAUGGGGAAACCCGGUACGGCAAUACCGUAUCACUGCAUGGUAAAUACAUAGCCAUGUGGAGGAAACCCUCUGAACUGAAACAUCUAAGUAGGAGGAGGAAGAGAAAGAAACAUCGAUUUCCUAAGUAGCGGCGAGCGAAAGGGAAAGAGGCCAAACCAGAGAUAGCAAUAUCUUUGGGGUUGCGGACUGCGUAAUUGAUUCAAUAUUUUUAGCAGAAGUGUAUGGGAAGACACACCAUAGUAGGUAAUAGUCCUGUAAGCGAAAAGGAUAUUGACAAGGCAGGAUCCAGAGUACCACCGGACACGAGGAACCCGGUGGGAAGCCGGGGGGACCACCCCCCAAGCCUAAAUACUACCUGAUGACCGAUAGUGAAAAGUACAGUGAUGGAAAGUUGAAAAGAACCCCGGAAGGGGAGUGAAAAAGAAUCUGAAACCCUAUGUUUACAAGCUGCUAAAGCACCAUAUGAGUGCGAUAGCGUACUUUUUGUAGAACGGUCCGGCGAGUGUAUGUUGCAAGCGAGGUUAAGGUGUUAAGCACUGAAGCCGAAGGGAGACCGAGUGUGAAUAGCGCGUACAGUUUGCAGUAUACGACCCGAAACCGGGUGACCUAACCAUGGACAGGUUGAAGUGGAAGUAAAAUUCCAUGGAGGACCGAACCCACGUCUGUUGAAAAAGGCGGGGAUGAGCUGUGGUUAGCGGUGAAAUUCCAAUCGAACUCGGAUAUAGCUGGUUCUCAUCGAAAUAGCUUUAGGGCUAGCCUCAGGAUAGUUUAGCGGAGGUAAAGCACUGAAUGGGCUAGGGGGCUUCACGGCUUACCGAACCCUAUCAAACUCUGAAUGCCGCAUAAAUGUUUCCUGGGAGUCAGACUGCGUGAGAUAAGUUUCGUAGUCAAAAGGGAAAGAGCCCAGACCUACAGCUAAGGUCCCUAAAUGAAUUUAAGUGGAAAAGGAUGUGCAGUUGCGUAGACAACUAGGACGUUGGCUUAGAAGCAGCCACUCAUUUAAAGAGUGCGUAAUAGCUCACUAGUCGAGUGAUUGUGCGCCGAAAAUGUAACGGGGCUAAAAUUCAUACCGAAGCUUAGGAAUGAUAGUAAUAUUGUUGGUAGAUGAGCGUUGUGUAAGUCUGCGAAGCUACACCGAAAGGAGUAGUGGAGAUAUCACAAGUGAGAAUGCCGGAAUGAGUAGCGAGAAUUAUGUGAGAAUCAUAAUGGUCGAAAAUCUAAGGUUUCUUGAGGAAGGUUCGUCCGCUCAAGGUAAGCCGGGAGCUAAGGCGAGGCCGAGAGGCGUAGUCGAUGCACAUACGGUAAAGAUUCCGUAGCCACCGAAGUCGUUAAAUACAGGGACACAGGAACAUAGCCCAUCCCCACCGUUGGUUGAGUGGGGCGUAAGGGAGCGAAAAUUAGUAGCGAAGUGGGUGAUUGUACACUGGCGAGAAAAGCUGUAUGAAUUGACCAGGUGCCCGUACCGCAAACCGACACAGGUAGAUGAGGAGAGAAUCCUAAGACCAGCGGGAGAAGUGUUGUUAAGGAACUCGGCAAAAUGACCCCGUAACUUCGGGAUAAGGGGAGCCUCGCAAGAGGCCGCAGAAAAGAGGCACAAGCAACUGUUUAGCAAAAACAUAGGUCUAUGCGAAACCGUAAGGUGAAGUAUAUGGGCUGACGCCUGCCCGGUGCUGGAAGGUUAAGAGGAGAGGUCAGCGCAAGCGAAGCUUUGAAUUUAAGCCCCAGUAAACGGCGGCCGUAACUAUAACGGUCCUAAGGUAGCGAAAUUCCUUGUCAGGUAAGUUCUGACCCGCACGAAAGGCGUAAUGAUUUGUGCACUGUCUCGACAACACGCCCGGUGAAAUUGAAGAACCAGUGAAGAUACUGGUUACCCGCAACAGGACGGAAAGACCCCAUGGAGCUUUACUGCAGCCUGAUACUGGGAUUCGAUGAUAUAUGUACAGGAUAGGUGGGAGGCUAAGAAGCGAGAACGCUAGUUUUCGUGGAGCCGCCGGUGGGAUACCACUCUUAUGUCAUUGAAUUUCUAACCUGCAUCCGUAAUCCGGGUGAGGGACAAUGUCAGGCGGGCAGUUUGACUGGGGCGGUCGCCUCCUAAAAGGUAACGGAGGCGCUCGAAGGUCACCUCAGAAUGAUUGGAAACCAUUCAAAGAGUGUAAAGGCAAAAGGUGGCUUGACUGCGAGAGCGACGGCUCGAGCAGGUACGAAAGUAGGACUUAGUGAUCCGGUGGUAAUAAGUGGGAAUGCCAUCGCUCAACGGAUAAAAGCUACCCUGGGGAUAACAGGCUUAUCUCCCCCAAGAGUUCACAUCGACGGGGAGGUUUGGCACCUCGAUGUCGGCUCAUCGCAUCCUGGGGCUGAAGUAGGUCCCAAGGGUUGGGCUGUUCGCCCAUUAAAGCGGUACGCGAGCUGGGUUCAGAACGUCGUGAGACAGUUCGGUCCCUAUCCGUUGUGGGCGCAGGAAAUUUGAGAGGAGCUGUCCUUAGUACGAGAGGACCGGGAUGGACGUACCUCUGGUGUACCGGUUGCAGACCAACUGCACAGCCGGGUAGCUAUGUAUGGAACGGAUAAACGCUGAAGGCAUCUAAGCGUGAAGCCGCCCUCAAGAUAAGAUUUCCCAUUCUUCGGAAGUAAGAUCCCUUAAAGAUAAUGAGGUUGAUAGGUUGGAGGUGUAAGCAUGGUAACAUGUUCAGCUGACCAAUACUAAUAGAUCGAGGGCUUGACCAA
rnacentral:rRNA from 1 species